CCACUGUCCUGCUGCUCCUCAGGACCAGCCCUCACAUGUGCUUUGCGCUUCAAUGAAGGGGCCACUUGUGCAAUCAGGUGUUUACCUAUGUACAUGCAGCCUUUGAGAAGUUUGAGCCAUAAGAAUUAAGCUUUGGAUGCAGAACCGAGAAAACUUGAUCCGAAACCUUGACAGGAUGCUGGGUUCCUGGCGUACUGACAGUCCCCCGCCAUAGGGGUGGCAUUAAUGAAGGGGCACUGCCUACCUUACAAGAGCUG